CAAGUACUCCCUCCGUUCCAAAUUACUCGUCGCAGAAAUGGAUGUAUCUAUAAGUAAAAUACAUCUAGAUACAUCCGUACCUGUGACAAGUAAUUCGGAACGGAGGGGGUAUGAU
rfam:Triticum aestivum genome assembly, contig: Triticum_aestivum_CS42_TGACv1_scaffold_307524_4AS